AAACUUAGGUUAACAUAAANCCAAAGGCCUUCAAAGCCUUUAAUAAGGAC
rnacentral:tRNA from 1 species